UAACGGGUAGUGCUAACUGAGUGAGGGU
rnacentral:piRNA from 1 species